rnacentral:rRNA from 1 species
GACGAACGCUGGCGGCGUGCUUAACACAUGCAAGUCGAACGGAAAGGCCCUGCUUUUGUGGGGUGCUCGAGUGGCGAACGGGUGAGUAACACGUGAGUAACCUGCCCUUGACUUUGGGAUAACUUCAGGAAGCUGGGGCUAAUACCGGAUAGGAGCUCCUGCUGCAUGGUGGGGGUUGGAAAGUUUCGGCGGUUGGGGAUGGACUCGCGGCUUAUCAGCUUGUUGGUGGGGUAGUGGCUUACCAAGGCUUUGACGGGUAGCCGGCCUGAGAGGGUGACCGGCCACAGUGGGACUGUGAGGCGGCCCAGACUCCUGCGGGAAGCAGCAGUGGAGAAUAUUGCACAGUGGGCGGAAGGCUGAUGCAGCAACGCGGCGUGCGUGAUGACGGCCGUGGGGUUGUAAGCCGCCUUCGCCUGUGACGAGGCGUGAGUGACGGUAAUUAGUAAAGAAGCACCUGAUAACUAC